AUUGAACGCUGGCGGCAGGCCUAACACAUGCAAGUCUAACGAGUGGCGGACGGGUGAGUAAUGUCUGGGAAACUGCCUGAUGGCGGGGGAUAACUACUGGAAACGGUAGCUAAUACCGCAUACCAUCGGAUGUGCCCAGAUGGGCUUAGCUAGUAGGUGGGGUCAAGGCUCACCUAGGCGACGAUCCCUAGCUGUUCUGAGAGGAUGACCAGCCACGUUGGAACUGGGACACGGGCCAGAACCCUACGUGAGGCAGCAGGGGGGAAUAUUGCACAAUGGGCUCAAGCCUGAUGCAGCCAUGCCGCGUGUAUGAAGAAGGCCUUCGGGUUGUAAAGUACUUUCAGCGGGGAGGCGUUACCCGCAGAAGAAGCACCGGCUAACUCCGUGCCAGCAGCCGCGGUAAUA
rnacentral:rRNA from 1 species